GACGUAGGGCGCGAGCGUUGUCCGGAUUUAUUGGGCGUAAAGAGCUCGUAGGCGGCUCGUUGCGUCCAUCGUGAAAACUCAGGGCUUAACUCUGAGCUUGCGGUGGAUACGGGCGGGCUAGAGUUCGGUAGGGGAGUCUGGAAUUCCUGGUGUAGCGGUGAAAUGCGCAGAUAUCAGGAGGAACACCGAUGGCGAAGGCAGGACUCUGGGCCGAUACUGACGCUGAGGAGCGAAAGCGUGGGGAGCAAACAGG
rnacentral:rRNA from 1 species